UUAAAACUGCUUUGUUCACCGGAGAUCCGAGGGACUAGCAAAUGCCAGGCCCCAGGAGUUCCCAGACACAGGCAAUGGAAGCCCAGACCCUCAGGCAGCUGCGGGAAAAGUGAGGGCACUGGAGGUAGAGUCCAAUUCCUUCCCGGUGGAAGCGAAAAGUUUGUGUUUGCUUUUUUCCUCAGAAGACGGCGUGGAGGGGGGAGGGAGGAACACCGGAAGUGCCCACAAGCCUCUCCUGUCCCGUGUCAGUGGCUCCCACGGUUUACCACAGAGAAAUAGCUGUGGGUGGCGAUGUUACUGAGUCCAAGGUCUCACCAGCCAGAAACCGGCCAGGCUCCCGGAGGACCCGGCCGGCAGCCAAAGGCAUCCGUAUCAGACAGUGUCAUACCUGUGUCUUCAUAGUCCCAAAAUGGCAGCUACACAACCAGCACUUGCCCACGUUCCGUUCAGGAAGAAGGGACAGGGGCAAAGGCAAGAUAUCCACUCCGACCCCAAAGUCCGAGGACUACAGUUCUGUAACACUACCUUAAUCACUCAUUAGACAGCACAAGCAGGGGCAGAGGCAGGCAGAGGGAGAGGGAGAAGAAGACUCCCCGCUAAGCAAGGAGCCCGAUGUGGGACUCGAUCCCAGGACCCCGGGAUCAUGACCUGAGUCGAAGGCAGCUGCUUAACCAACUGAGUCACCCAGGCACCCCUCUGCUGAGAUUUUCUAUCUUUCUAUUUAUUUUAAGUGGGUUCACCCUUACUUCUUUGAGCAUGGUCAUAAUAAAAGCCUUC